GAACGCCAUGAUAAUUUUUCGCUUAUAAGAGAUAAUGUAAAAGGUUGUCUUAAAAGGGCAUAUUGCAAGAACGUUCGUAGUUACAAUUUGCGAUCAAGGUAUAAGAAACUUUCUAUAGAACAGUUGGUGAUUCGUAGAAACUUUAGCCAGAGCUCACGUAUUGGAUAUUUUAAUUCGAAAUUGGCUCCGGUUGGAAUACAGGCAAAGGUUUUACGGAAAAUUGGUUAAGUGAAUUACGAGUUGCAAGAAAUUGAAAGUGGAGAUAUUGGUGUGUAUCACGCAAAGGAUAUUUGGACAUGAUAUUACUAAUAGAUUCAAGCUAGAGGAUCCACCUUUUACUGAUCCAGUUCCUGGGUUUAUAAACCGGAAGCUGUAUCUGUUUUGUGAGGCCAUGCCGGUACUUGUUAAAUUGAAAUAUUUUAUUUUAAAUUAAGUAUUUAUAUUUUUUGUUGCUAUGGGUUUUGUUAUUUCGUUGCCGGGGGAAAAAAUGUAUUAGGGGAUUGUUAGAAAAAUUUGGAAAGGAGAACGUUGGAUAAAACUGAGAUACGAAAAUUUUCGGAUAAUUCAUUGAACAAAAGAAAGAGCUUCCGGUCAUUGGAUUGGUUUCCGACAAUAUAUUUUCGAAGAUUAACGCAAAGGAAGGCAAAAUUUACAAUAUUCCCUAAAAUAUUUCCUGUUUUACAAAAUCCUUAUGGCGUUAAUUGAUGGCGAAUAAUUGUUUAAUUUUGGCAAAAUUGGCUGAUUACCUAAAUGAAUGUUAGCUGCAGAAAUUUGAGAUUUAUUUUAAUGUAGACUUGGAAAAAAAAAAAAAAAACAAUUCUGGAGGAUGCAAAUUUGUAUAUAAGAAAUUCAGAUAAGGAAUAAUAUAAUUUUAAAUAGAAUAUUUUGAACAUUUACCACUAUUUUUGUACACAGAAGAAGACUUUUGUGAUCUUUGAAUUGGUAAAUUUUUAUUUAACUACGUUUUUUU